CCUACGGGAGGCAGCAGUGGGGAAUAUUGGGCAAUGGGCGCAAGCCUGACCCAGCAACGCCGCGUGAAGGAAGAAGGCUUUCGGGUUGUAAACUUCUUUUCUCAGGGACGAAGAAAGUGACGGUACCUGAGGAAUAAGCCACGGCUAACUACGUGCCAGCAGCCGCGGUAAUACGUAGGUGGCAAGCGUUAUCCGGAUGUAUUGGGUGUAAAGGGCGUGUAGGCGGGAGCGCAAGUCAGAUGUGAAAACUCAGGGCUCAACCCUGAGCCUGCAUUUGAAACUGUGUUUCUUGAGUGCUGGGGAGGCAAGCGGAAUUCCGGGUGUAGCGGGGAAAUGCGUAGAUAUACGGAGGAACACCAGUGGCGAAGGCGGAUUGCUGGACAGUAACGGACUCUGAGGCGCGAAAGCGUGGGGAGCAAACAGGAUUAGAUACCCUAGUAGUC
rnacentral:rRNA from 1 species